GAUUAAGUUAUUAAGGGCGCACGGUGGAUGCCUUGGCACUAGAAGCCGAUGAAGGACGUUACUAACGACGAUAUGCUUUGGGGAGCUGUAAGUAAGCUUUGAUCCAGAGAUUUCCGAAUGGGGAAACCCAACAUGAGUUAUGUCAUGUUAUCGAUAUGUGAAUACAUAGCAUAUCAGAAGGCACACCCGGAGAACUGAAACAUCUUAGUACCCGGAGGAAGAGAAAGAAAAUUCGAUUCCCUUAGUAGCGGCGAGCGAAACGGGAAGAGCCCAAACCAACAAGCUUGCUUGUUGGGGUUGUAGGACACUCUAUACGGAGUUACAAAGGACGACAUUAGACGAAUCAUCUGGAAAGAUGAAUCAAAGAAGGUAAUAAUCCUGUAGUCGAAAAUGUUGUCUCUCUUGAGUGGAUCCUGAGUACGACGGAGCACGUGAAAUUCCGUCGGAAUCUGGGAGGACCAUCUCCUAAGGCUAAAUACUCUCUAGUGACCGAUAGUGAACCAGUACCGUGAGGGAAAGGUGAAAAGCACCCCGGAAGGGGAGUGAAAUAGAACCUGAAACCGUGUGCUUACAAGUAGUCAGAGCCCGUUAAUGGGUGAUGGCGUGCCUUUUGUAGAAUGAACCGGCGAGUUACGAUUUGAUGCAAGGUUAAGCAGUAAAUGUGGAGCCGUAGCGAAAGCGAGUCUGAAUAGGGCGUUUAGUAUUUGGUCGUAGACCCGAAACCAGGUGAUCUACCCUUGGUCAGGUUGAAGUUCAGGUAACACUGAAUGGAGGACCGAACCGACUUACGUUGAAAAGUGAGCGGAUGAACUGAGGGUAGCGGAGAAAUUCCAAUCGAACCUGGAGAUAGCUGGUUCUCUCCGAAAUAGCUUUAGGGCUAGCCUCAAGUGAUGAUUAUUGGAGGUAGAGCACUGUUUGGACGAGGGGCCCCUCUCGGGUUACCGAAUUCAGACAAACUCCGAAUGCCAAUUAAUUUAACUUGGGAGUCAGAACAUGGGUGAUAAGGUCCGUGUUCGAAAGGGAAACAGCCCAGACCACCAGCUAAGGUCCCAAAAUAUAUGUUAAGUGGAAAAGGAUGUGGCGUUGCCCAGACAACUAGGAUGUUGGCUUAGAAGCAGCCAUCAUUUAAAGAGUGCGUAAUAGCUCACUAGUCGAGUGACACUGCGCCGAAAAUGUACCGGGGCUAAACAUAUUACCGAAGCUGUGGAUUGUCCUUUGGACAAUGGUAGGAGAGCGUUCUAAGGGCGUUGAAGCAUGAUCGYAAGGACAUGUGGAGCGCUUAGAAGUGAGAAUGCCGGUGUGAGUAGCGAAAGACGGGUGAGAAUCCCGUCCACCGAUUGACUAAGGUUUCCAGAGGAAGGCUCGUCCGCUCUGGGUUAGUCGGGUCCUAAGCUGAGGCCGACAGGCGUAGGCGAUGGAUAACAGGUUGAUAUUCCUGUACCACCUAUAAUCGUUUUAAUCGAUGGGGGGACGCAGUAGGAUAGGCGAAGCGUGCGAUUGGAUUGCACGUCUAAGCAGUAAGGCUGAGUAUUAGGCAAAUCCGGUACUCAUUAAGGCUGAGCUGUGAUGGGGAGAAGACAUUGUGUCUUCGAGUCGUUGAUUUCACACUGCCGAGAAAAGCCUCUAGAUAGAAAAUAGGUGCCCGUACCGCAAACCGACACAGGUAGUCAAGAUGAGAAUUCUAAGGUGAGCGAGCGAACUCUCGUUAAGGAACUCGGCAAAAUGACCCCGUAACUUCGGGAGAAGGGGUGCUCUUUAGGGUUAACGCCCAGAAGAGCCGCAGUGAAUAGGCCCAAGCGACUGUUUAUCAAAAACACAGGUCUCUGCUAAACCGUAAGGUGAUGUAUAGGGGCUGACGCCUGCCCGGUGCUGGAAGGUUAAGAGGAGUGGUUAGCUUCUGCGAAGCUACGAAUCGAAGCCCCAGUAAACGGCGGCCGUAACUAUAACGGUCCUAAGGUAGCGAAAUUCCUUGUCGGGUAAGUUCCGACCCGCACGAAAGGCGUAACGAUUUGGGCACUGUCUCAACGAGAGACUCGGUGAAAUCAUAGUACCUGUGAAGAUGCAGGUUACCCGCGACAGGACGGAAAGACCCCGUGGAGCUUUACUGUAGCCUGAUAUUGAAAUUCGGCACAGCUUGUACAGGAUAGGUAGGAGCCUUUGAAACGUGAGCGCUAGCUUACGUGGAGGCGCUGGUGGGAUACUACCCUAGCUGUGUUGGCUUUCUAACCCGCACCACUUAUCGUGGUGGGAGACAGUGUCAGGCGGGCAGUUUGACUGGGGCGGUCGCCUCCUAAAAGGUAACGGAGGCGCUCAAAGGUUCCCUCAGAAUGGUUGGAAAUCAUUCAUAGAGUGUAAAGGCAUAAGGGAGCUUGACUGCGAGACCUACAAGUCGAGCAGGGUCGAAAGACGGACUUAGUGAUCCGGUGGUUCCGCAUGGAAGGGCCAUCGCUCAACGGAUAAAAGCUACCCCGGGGAUAACAGGCUUAUCUCCCCCAAGAGUUCACAUCGACGGGGAG
rnacentral:rRNA from 1 species